GUCAGGACGAACGCUGGGCGGCGUGCCUAAUACAUGCAAGUCGAGCGGAAUGAUGAAGAAGCUUGCUUCUUCUGAUUUUAGCGGCGGACGGGUGAGUAACACGUGGGCAACCUACCUUGUAGAUUGGGAUAACUCCGGGAAACCGGGGCUAAUACCAAAUAAUCCAUUUUGCUUCAUGGCGAAAUGUUAAAAGGCGGCUUCGGCUGUCACUACGAGAUGGGCCCGCGGCGCAUUAGCUAGUUGGUAGGGUAACGGCCUACCAAGGCGACGAUGCGUAGCCGACCUGAGAGGGUGAUCGGCCACACUGGGACUGAGACACGGCCCAGACUCCUACGGGAGGCAGCAGUAGGGAAUCUUCCACAAUGGACGAAAGUCUGAUGGAGCAACGCCGCGUGAGUGAAGAAGGUUUUCGGAUCGUAAAACUCUGUUGUAAGGGAAGAACACGUACGAGAGUAACUGCUCGUACCU
rnacentral:rRNA from 1 species